UGCUCCGCUACAAGGAGAAGAAAAAGACUCGUAGAUACGAUAAGCACAUAAGGUACGAGUCGAGAAAAGCAAGAGCUGACACAAGGAAACGGGUGAAGGGCCGAUUCGUUAAGUCUACUGAAGCCUCUGAUGGUUGAGUCAUCCGCACCAGCAGGUCACGUGCUGGAGUUCAUACUUACUGGCUCUACGUAAAGAGUUGGUGGACUGGGUUUUUGGGCCCUUGUUGGGCCUUACUGGGCCUCAACACGGGUACUGGGGAGAAAUCCCUCCCAACGAAAGAUCCUCAGAUCAUUCCCCUCAUGGGGGCUGAUGAGCUGUUCCUGCCUUACCAAGUUGCCUGGUUGUUGUGCUCUUUUUUGUUAUGUGAGCAAAGCGUGAAAUUUCUUCUGGCAUUUGUCAAGAGGGCAAGUAGAGUUCCAGGUCGUUCCCGCACAAUCAAGGCCCUUUUGACUUAAAGUUCUCGAAUACAUUUGGAUCAUUUAUAUAUCGGUUACCCUCGACCACACUCGUUAAAAAAUGAAAUUGUGA